rnacentral:lncRNA from 1 species
GAGAAACAGAAAAGGUUUAUUACCUGGAAUAUCUCCUUUGGUACAUUCCUGCAUUUUUAGGUACUUUUAUACGAUAAAAAUGUAUUUGAGCCUCAUUUGAGCUAGUUUGAAUCGAAUUUAAUGCCUAUGGAUAGUCUGUUAAUAGGUUCAUGCUAUUAAUUAAUCUUUGGACUUUCUCAGGUAUUGCGAGUAUGUUAUUAAUGUUGUGGCCUAUGGAUAUAUGUCGUCCUAGUAUCAAUAGGUUGUCUUAGGUUGAGGAGAGAGAUCGAUCAGCAAUUACAAAAUUGUUAGUGAAUUUAGCGUGUUUAAGCUUUGUUUAUCAUCUCUCUUAUUUUGUUUGUUAAGAUUUGUUGUUCUAGGUUAUGAUUUAUCCUUGUCCCUACAUUUCACAGCAACUGAGAAUUUGUUAGUGUUAGAUUUAUAAGGGAAAAACAAAGUGAUUUUAUUAAUUUGGAGGAGAAUAGUACAUAGCUUUGUGUAGGCUAAUUGACCUUUUACACUUAACAUAUUGGCUUUUUAGCCAUCACACUUGAUUUAGAUUAGUUUAGGCUAUUUGGCCCUUAACUUAGAUUAGUGAGCUUAUUGGCUCCCUAACAUAGCUAACUUUGGUAGCUCUUGGCUCCCUAAUUGUUUGGGAGUUGAUUGGUUUACCCCCACAUAGAUUGGGAGUUCUAUUAAUUAAUUCCACAUUUCAUUGUGGUUGCAUGCCUAUUUAUAGGCUCCUUUGCCGACAUCACCAAGUCCACCGACUUGGUUUCUUUUUCUCCGGCCACAAGGGUGUGGCUUCAUCUAGAAUAUUCUAUAUUUGUACAAUAUUAUUUUUGUGGCUAUUGUUUAGCCAUCAUGCUCCACCGCCAUAGUCUAGCAACAUGAGUGUUCUUGUUCUAGAGAGUUCUUCCAACUUCAAUCCCUUUGUGUAGCCGACACAUAUACACGCAUAUACACAUAUACACAUAUACACACAUUUUAGUAGGGCAAAAAAUGAUUGCUUUUAUAUGUUAACGUCUCAGUCUUAUUCCACUCUGUGUUUAGACUUCAUUUAUGUUGUGCUUCGACUGCUGCUGUAUUUUAGAUUUCGUCCAUGUAAUGUUAGGAUGUUUAAUCUCUAAUCUGUGGUGGUAGUUGAGUAGUCUAGCUAAUCCAGUAGAUAUCUUGUCCCCUGUUUCUUAUCAAAAAAAAAGUUUUCAUCGAUACUUAUUGCUUAUUUUGAAUUGCAGAAGCCUACUUUUGUCACAGUCAGUAGAUGCCAGAAUGAAGUCAUUGCCUAAAAACAUUGGCACCCUCACAGCCUUCGACAUUUGGGGAUAUAUGAUCUUCAAAUCUUGUGUCAUUUGCCUCCCAACCUGCAAUAUUUUCAUAUUUUGAAUUGUGAUAGACUGAGCCCUUCGGUGGGAGAUUACUGGGGUUUGCAAGGACUUGGUGGCAAUAUCUUGUAGAUGUUUCUCAAGGAACAGCUGCUCAAUACCACUCUUCGCACUCUAUUUAUUACGGCUCUUCGCUGCAAAGGCUACAUAUUUGUGGGUGUGACAGUAUCCAAUUCCUGCCAGAAGAGCGUUUGCUGCCAUCUCUUUCUUAUCUGUGCAUCGACCAUUGUUUUGCUGUGUAGAAAAGGUAUCUCACAUUCCUUGCAUCAAGAUAGGCGAAGAAGUGAUCAUAAGAUAUCAGCUCUCUCCCUCUCGCUCACAUACAAA